UACGGGGGGAGCAAGCGUUGUUCGGAUUUACUGGGCGUAAAGGGCGCGUAGGCGGUCGUGACAAGUCACUUGUGAAAUCUCCGGGCUUAACUCGGAACGGUCAAGUGAUACUGUCGGACUAGAGUACAGAAGGGGGCAACUGGGAAUUCUCGGUGUAGCGGUGAAAAUGCGUAGAUAUCGAGAGGAACACCUGCGGCGAAGGCGGGUUGCUGGGCUGAUACUGACGCUGAGGCGCGAAAGCCAGGGGAGGCGAAACGGG
rnacentral:rRNA from 1 species